rnacentral:pre_miRNA from 1 species
AAUAAGAUCAUUUUCAGUUUUUCGUUACAAUAUUUUGACUCUUCGUCUUAUUUGAAUUUUUUUACGAUUAAUAUUUUAUUCUUACUAGAUGAUCAUGAAUAGUACUUUAUAUGUGACUAAUUUUUUUAAGUUUUUGUACAAAUUUUUCAAAUAAGACGAAUGAUCAAACGUUGGACACAUAAAA